rnacentral:rRNA from 1 species
CAGUCGCCGCGGGAAUACGUAUGUCACAAGCGUUAUCCGGAUUUAUAGGGCGUAAAGCGCGUCUAGGUGGUUAUGUAAGUCUGAUGUGAAAAUGCAGGGCUCAACUCUGUAUUGCGUUGGAAACUGUGUAACUAGAGUACUGGAGAGGUAAGCGGAACUACAAGUGUAGAGGUGAAAUUCGUAGAUAUUUGUAGGAAUGCCGAUGGGGAAGCCAGCUUACUGGACAGAUACUGACGCUAAAGCGCGAAAGCGUGGGUAGCAAACAGGAUUAGAGACCCCUGUAGUCCCUGUCUCUUAUACA